CACAAGCGGCGGAGCAUGCGGAUUAAUUCGAUGACAACGCGAAGAACCUUACCAAGGCUUGACAUACACCGGUAACGCCCAGAGAUGGGUGCCCCUUUGUGGUCGGUGUACAGGUGGUGCAUGGUUGUCGUCAGCUCGUGUCGUGAGAUGUUGGGUUAAGCCCCGCAACGAGCGCAACCCUCGUCCUAUGUUGCCAGCGGGUCAUGCCGGGGACUCAUGGGAGACUGCCGGGGUCAACUCGGAGGGAGGUGGGGAUGACGUCAAGUCCUCAUGGCCCUUAUAGGUGGGGCUACACACGUCAUACAAUGGCCGGUACAGAGGGUAGCCAACCCGCGAGGGGGAGCCAAUCCCACAAAGCCGGUCGUAGUCCGGAUCGCAGUCUGCAACUCGACUGCGUGAAGUCGGAAUCGCUAGUAAUCGCGGAUCAGCAUGUCGCGGUGAAUACGUUCCCGGGUCUU
rnacentral:rRNA from 1 species